AAAACCCCCCCGUGGUUUCGUGCAUUCUCACUUUGCUACCCUGUGGUUUAAAACGUAUCAAUUUGCCCCCCUGUGGUUUCGUUUUUAUCUUUUUGUUAUCAAUUUUAUUAUUAUUAUUUUUUUAAAUCAGUGACAAAGUUAAAAUUAAAGGAUACUAAAGUGACUAUUCGAUAAAUAUAGAUGGUUAUCUGAAGUUUUUUGUAUAUAAUUUAACGAAAUAUUAACGAAAAAGCUUCCGAAAAGAUAAAAAUGAAACCACAGGGGGUAAAUUGAUACGUUUUAAACCACAGGAUAGCAAAGUGAGAAUGCACGAAACCACAGGGGAGGUUUUUGAAGUUUUCCCAAAAAAAAGGACAAAAAUUUGCUGGGCA
rnacentral:lncRNA from 1 species